rnacentral:lncRNA from 1 species
AGGAGGAGAGUCAACAAAACGGCCAAUCUUUUUGCUAUCUACAUCUAUCUACAACAUACACUUAUAAGUUAUAACAUUAUUACAGUUCGGAUUAUGAUUAUGCGAUGACACUAAUAGUACUAUAAUACAACCAAUCCUAAUUUCGGAUAAAUGAUUACUGGAUUACAUGCUUCAAUCAUUGUUAAAACAAACUAAUUCAUAAAAAACACAAGUUAAUGAGUUGAAUACAAAGGAAUAUUACUAUAUGAUAAAAAAGUAGGCAGUUAAAGGCAAAUCAAAUAAUGAUGAUAGUAACAAGUUAGCAUUGAUUGAGGCGGAGGAUGGGUUUACAUUUACACAUGCAUGAUAAGGAGAAUGCGAGUGAGGAGGAAACAAACACAACAAGCACGGUGUCACGCGGAGAAUGACCCACAUGCUCCUCUCCCCAUCUCCAUGCUCCCACCAUGUUACUACUGUACGCAAAGUGGUUUUACUUAUUUUAUACACUCUCUCUUCUUGAUGAUGAAAAGGAGAAAAAUAAAAAAAGUAAUAAUGUAGCUUUAAAAUGUCAUUGUUAAUGAAAG